GAAUUUUUCUCAAUGGGGGAAACCCUGAAGGAGCGACGCCGCGUGGAGGAUGAAGGUCUUCGGAUUGUAAACUCCUGUCAUUUGGGAACAAUGUGCAUUUAUUAACUGUAGAUGCAUUGAUAGUACCAGAAGAGGAAGAGACGGCUAACUCUGUGCCAGCAGCCGCGGUAAUACAGAGGUCUCAAGCGUUGUUCGGAUUCAUUGGGCGUAAAGGGUGCGUAGGUGGCGGGGUAAGUCUGGUGUGAAAUCUCGGGGCUCAACCCCGAAACUGCACUGGAUACUGCCUUGCUUGAGUACUGGAGAGGAGAUUGGAAUUUACGGUGUAGCAGUGAAAUGCGUAGAUAUCGUAAGGAAGACCAGUGGCGAAGGCGAAUCUCUGGACAGUUACUGACACUGAGGCACGAAGGCCAGGGGAGCAAACGGG
rnacentral:rRNA from 1 species